ACGGAAGGCAGCAGUGGGGAAUAUUGCACAAUGGGGGAAACCCUGAUGCAGCGACGCCGCGUGAGUGAAGAAGUAUUUCGGUAUGUAAAGCUCUAUCAGCAGGGAAGAAAAUGACGGUACCUGACUAAGAAGCCCCGGCUAACUACGUGCCAGCAGCCGCGGUAAUACGUAGGGGGCAAGCGUUAUCCGGAUUUACUGGGUGUAAAGGGAGCGUAGACGGUCUGGCAAGUCUGAUGUGAAAGGCAGGGGCUCAACUCCUGGACUGCAUUGGAAACUGCCGGACUGGAGUGCCGGAGAGGUAAGCGGAAUUCCUAGUGUAGCGGUGAAAUGCGUAGAUAUUAGGAGGAACACCGGUGGCGAAGGCGGCUUACUGGACAGUAACUGACGUUGAGGCUCGAAAGCGUGGGGAGCAAACAGGAUUAGAUACCCUGGUA
rnacentral:rRNA from 1 species